GAUACCACUUGUGGGGCAGGAAGAGAAACCCAAUGCCACUUAGGGGGCAAAGAGCAGCCCCCAGUGCCACUUAUGGGGCAGAGACGGAUCUCCAUCACCACUUAUGGGGCAGAGAGCAACCCCCAGUGCCACUUAUGGGGCAGCCACGGACCUAUAACCCCACUUAUGGGGCAGAGACUGCCACCUCAUGCCACUUAUGGGGCAGACAGCGACCCCCAAUGCCACUUAUGGGGCAGCCACGGACCUCCUAACCCCACUUAUGGGGCAGAGACUGACCCCUCAUGCCACUUGUGGGGCAGACAGCGCCCCCCAUCGCCACUUAUGGGGCAGGAACAGCCCCCCAAUGCCACUUAUGGGGCAGACAGCGACCCCCAUUGCCACUUAUGGGGCAGAGAGCGACCCCCAUUGCCACUUAUGGGGCAGCCACGGACCUCCUCACCCCACUUCUGGGGCAGAGACUGCCGCCUCAUGCCACUUGUGGGGCAGCGAGCGCCCCCCAUCGCCACUUAUGGGGCAGGAACAGCCCCCCAAUGCCACUUAUGGGGCGCCGGGACCCCCCCCACACACCGCCCCCUCCCCCCAACUUAUGGGGCCGGAGACCCACGGAAGUCCCGCGUCGCUGG
rnacentral:lncRNA from 1 species